CUGCGGGCCUCUCUGCGCCUGCGCCGGCGCUGCGGGCCUCUCUGCGCCUGCGCCGGCGCUGCGGGCCUCUCUGCACAGAUUUCGGCAAUACCACGAAGGCAGAGCAGCGUUUUCCGCAGCACAGGCCCGGGCGGGCGGGCAGGCCGGCGGCACCGCGAGGGCGGAGCUGCGUUCUGCUCAGCACAGACCCGGGGGAAACCGCGUAGGCAGACCAGUGUUCUCCUCAGCACAGACCUUGGGGGCACCGCCUCGCUUUGGGAAAACUCGGGACCGCAGCGACGGUGAAUAAAAUGCUUCCUGUUUGCAGCCCUGAAUAAUCAGGGUCAGAGUCCAGUUAGAAGGGUUCAGUGUGGAAAAAGAGAAACCAAAAGCCCCCAUGAAUCCUGCGCAUGGAAGGGUCUCCCUCUGUUGUCCAAGGCUGGAGUGUAGUAGUGCUAUCGCAGCUGACUGCAGCCUCAACCUUCCAGGCUGAAGCGAUCCUCCCACCUCAACCUCCCACGUGGCUGAGACUACACGUGGUUGCCACUAUGCCCAACUACUAUUUGGAAUUUUCGUAUACAUGGAUUCCAGAGGGGUGACAGCGAAACAUGAGUGGGACCAUCCAGUUUCAGGAAAACAAGCUUAACACGCCCACUGAUUCGACAUUAUGCUCCUACCUCCCGGCAGCCUCUCCAGGCCCAGAACUUUCUCCA